UUGAAGUGUGGACGCCAGUCUGCAUGGAGCCGACCUUGAAAUACCACCCUUUAAUGUUUGAUGUUCUAACGUUGGCCCCUAAUCGGGGUUGCGGACAGUGUCUGGUGGGUAGUUUGACUGGGGCGGUCUCCUCCUAAAGAGUAACGGAGGAGCACGAAGGUUGGCUAAUCCUGGUCGGACAUCAGGAGGUUAGUGCAAUGGCAUAAGCCAGCUUGACUGCGAGCGUGACGGCGCGAGCAGGUGCGAAAGCAGGUCAUAGUGAUCCGGUGGUUCUGAAUGGAAGGGCCAUCGCUCAACGGAUAAAAGGUACUCCGGGGAUAACAGGCUGAUACCGCCCAAGAGUUCAUAUCGACGGCGGUGUUUGGCACCUCGAUGUCGGCUCAUCACAUCCUGGGGCUGAAGUAGGUCCCAAGGGUAUGGCUGUUCGCCAUUUAAAGUGGUACGCGAGCUGGGUUUAGAACGUCGUGAGACAGUUCGGUCCCUAUCUGCCGUGGGCGCUGGAGAACUGAGGGGGGCUGCUCCUAGUACGAGAGGACCGGAGUGGACGCAUCACUGGUGUUCGGGUUGUCAUGCCAAUGGCACUGCCCGGUAGCUAAAUGCGGAAGAGAUAAGUGCUGAAAGCAUCUAAGCACGAAACUUGCCCCGAGAUGAGUUCUCCCUG
rnacentral:rRNA from 1 species